rnacentral:rRNA from 1 species
UUCGGGGAACGAUAACGGCGUCGAGCGGCGGACGGGUGAGUAAUGCCUAGGAAAUUGCCCUGAUGUGGGGGAUAACCAUUGGAAACGAUGGCUAAUACCGCAUGAUGCCUACGGGCCAAAGAGGGGGACCUUCGGGCCUCUCGCGUCAGGAUAUGCCUAGGUGGGAUUAGCUAGUUGGUGAGGUAAGGGCUCACCAAGGCGACGAUCCCUAGCUGGUCUGAGAGGAUGAUCAGCCACACUGGAACUGAGACACGGUCCAGACUCCUACGGGAGGCAGCAGUGGGGAAUAUUGCACAAUGGGCGCAAGCCUGAUGCAGCCAUGCCGCGUGUAUGAAGAAGGCCUUCGGGUUGUAAAGUACUUUCAGUCGUGAGGAAGGCGGUGUCGUUAAUAGCGGCAUCGUUUGACGUUAGCGACAGAAGAAGCACCGGCUAACUCCGUGCCAGCAGCCGCGGUAAUACGGAGGGUGCGAG